UCCAGACUCCUACGGGAGGCAGCAGUGGGGGAUAUUGCACAAUGGGGGGAACCCUGAUGCAGCGACGCCGCGUGGGUGAAGGAGCGUUUCGGCGCGUAAAGCCCUAUCGGCAGGGAAGAAGGAGGACGGUACCUGACUAAGAAGCCCCGGCUAACUACGUGCCAGCAGCCGCGGUAAUACGUAGGGGGCAAGCGUUAUCCGGAUUUACUGGGUGUAAAGGGGGCGCAGACGGCAGCGCAAGCCAGGAGUGAAAGCCCGGGGCCCAACCCCGGGACUGCUCUUGGAACUGCGCGGCUGGAGUGCAGGAGGGGCAGGCGGAAUUCCUGGUGUAGCGGUGAAAUGCGUAGAUAUCAGGAGGAACACCGGUGGCGAAGGCGGCCUGCUGGACUGCGACUGACGUUGAGGCCCGAAAGCGUGGGGAGCAAACAGGAUUAGAUACCCCAGUACCU
rnacentral:rRNA from 1 species